AGGCACAGCUAGGGGUACUGGGCAAUGAUCCUAGGCUACCACUGCAAAUGAAGGGUCUUCAAUGCCCCACAGAGAUCUGUGGGGAAGGAGGGAAGGAGGGAAGGAUGGAUGGAGGAAGGGAGGAAGGAAGGAAGGAAGGAAGGAAGGAAGGAAGGAAGGAAGGCAGGCAGGCAGGCAGGCAGGCAGGCAGGCAGUUAGCUUCAAGCCCUGGAUCAACAGAUGGCGUUUCCAGCGCAAAAAAUGUCAGGUCCCAAAGAAACCUUGGACAAGUCUCACCCAGUACCUGUGGCUCCUCCCACACUUCUCACCCCGCUCCCCACCCUAAACCUCUCCUCUCCAGGGGCUGGACUUCCCUUCCCCCAGCUUCUGAUUCUUGUAUAACUCAGCCAUUUUGGCCGCCCACUCUCUUGGGCCUCUCCUGGCUUCGUCAUCUGCUCCUCCCUUGAUCCACGUGCGCCCUCUCUAUUCUCUCUCCUCUCGUGGCCUGGCUCAUUCUGAAUUUCCAGAUACCUCUUGUCUGUGCUCUCUCCCUCAUACCUAUAAUAAAACCGCUCUCCCCAGCCAUACCUAGAAGCAGUGAUGUUCUCAUUUUCAUUCAGAAGGCAUGAGCAUAACGCAAAGGGAAAAAGUGGGCAACAGCCUUGCCCCCCUCCUCCCGUGACAAAACGGGCCGUGGGCCCUCUUUUAGUUCCCGGAAGCUAUCCCAUCAUGUGUUAGAUUUCCUUUUCUGAGGCUCGGAGAGGUUAAAGCAACGUAUGUAAGGACGCGCAGCCUAGUCCUUGUUCCAACAGGCUGGAGACAACAGGGGAGGCAAGCGGCUUAGAACUGUUCUCCAAACAAGUGCCCCAGCGCGUGCGCGCCCACGUAAGGCUGCCCAGUUCUUGCAGGUCUGGAUGGAAGCUGUUUCCCCCACUUCCUUUAUCUGGGUGAGGAGCCACCAGUGACUUGGUCAAACUUUUCACUAUGUACAAGUUGCAGUCACCCUUCAGUCUCGGUUUGUAUGCUCAGAAGGGGCAAAGGAGGAGUCAACACCUGUUACCUCGUGUUAAUCCUCAGGAUGAACAUCCUAAGAAUGUUUGUAACUCCCUCAACACAACCCGGCAGUGGAGGGGCGCUACUUUCACCCCACAUUAUACAUGAAGACACUGAGGGUCAAGAAGAGCCCUGUGCCCAGGCGGUAGUUGGAGGCUGGGAGAGACUGACCCAAGGUCAACCCAAGGUCAACCCAAGACUGACCUCCCUUCAGAGCUCAGCCUCUCAUCCCCAAGCUGGAUGACCUCUAGCUGGAGAUGCAUGGAGAGCCCAGUCUCAUGUAUCACAAGCUGAUGUUGAACUCACUAUGAAGCUGAGGAUGGCCUUGAACUCCUGAUCUUCCUGCUUUCACCUCUCAGUUGCAUGAAUUGACACCCACCAAGUCCAAUUUGGAUUUUUUAAAAAUUAAAUUACAUUAACUAUUA